UACAGAGGUCUCAAGCGCUGUUCGGAUUCACUGGGCGUAAAGGGUGCGCAGGCGGCCAAGUGUGUGAGGCGUGAAAGCCCGAUGCUUAACAUCGGAAUUGCACCUCAAACUACAUGGCUAGAGCAUUGGAGAGGGUAGCGGAAUUCACGGUGUAGCAGUGAAAUGCGUAGAUAUCGGAAGGAACACCGGUGGCGAAAGCGGCGCGCUGGACCUCUUCUGACGCUGAGGCGCGAAAGCCAGGGGAGCAAACGGG
rnacentral:rRNA from 1 species